GUACCCUUCUAAAAUUGAUGCAGUUGCUUUACAUUGACAAUGCAGAAAGGUAAAGUAAGAAUCUAUAAAACCUAGAGAGGAGAUUGUAAAACUCCUCUUUGGAUUCCGCCUGGAGACAAACUG
rnacentral:snoRNA from 10 species